UCCGUAGGUGAACCUGCGGAAGGAUCAUUAAAGAGUAAGGGUGCUCAGCGCCCGACCUCCAACCCUUUGUUGUUAAAACUACCUUGUUGCUUUGGCGGGACCGCUCGGUCUCGAGCCGCUGGGGAUUCGUCCCAGGCGAGCGCCCGCCAGAGUUAAACCAAACUCUUGUUAUUUAACCGGUCGUCUGAGUUAAAAUUUUGAAUAAAUCAAAACUUUCAACAACGGAUCUCUUGGUUCUCGCAUCGAUGAAGAACGCAGCGAAAUGCGAUAAGUAAUGUGAAUUGCAGAAUUCAGUGAAUCAUCGAAUCUUUGAACGCACAUUGCGCCCCUUGGUAUUCCGAGGGGCAUGCCUGUUCGAGCGUCAUUACACCACUCAAGCUAUGCUUGGUAUUGGGCGUCGUCCUUAGUUGGGCGCGCCUUAAAGACCUCGGCGAGGCCACUCCGGCUUUAGGCGUAGUAGAAUUUAUUCGAACGUCUGUCAAAGGAGAGGAACUCUGCCGACUGAAACCUUUAUUUUUCUAGGUUGACCUCGGAUCAGGUAGGGAUACCCGCUGAACUUAAGCAUAUCAAUAAGCGGAGGA
rnacentral:ncRNA from 2 species